AGAUUGCAUUAGGUUGGUGCAAAAGUGAUUGUGGUUUUUGCUGUUAAAUGACAAAAACUGCAAUCACUUUUGCACCAACCUAAUAAAUUU
rnacentral:miRNA from 1 species